GCCGGGCCGUUUCCUAGGCAGCCUGGGGUUCCUUCAGCCAGGGGAAGGGUGUGCGUUUGGGAUGAUUGCCCGGGAAGCCGAGGGCGCUGCUCGGCAGCGAGACUUCUGGUACUUUCGGGCCAUCCCAGCGGGAAGGCAAGGCUCUCGAUCCAUCCGCCUUCGUCCCUCGAGUGGUAGGAAACUUCCCGACGCCUCCCGCGGCUCUGCCAGGAAAGAAGAUACAAGCUCCCCCUCCCAACCCCUUAGUAAUGACUGAGUUUAGCGAAGCCAGCCCGCCGGGAGGCAAACUCCCCCUGCCGCCCCGAGGCCUCCUCCAGCCUCGGAGACUGGAAAGCGGACUGCAACGCCCCGCCGGCCGUCGUCGGUGACAAGUGUGACAGCACCGUCCCGGUCCUACGGCCAAAUUGCAGAGGGUCCCAGUUUCAUUCAUUCUCCCUCACAGGGAAGGCAUUCACUUCCUCUUCCUCCAGCGGCCUGAAAAUCAUAUGUGUGGUUUUUCCUCUUUCCUGCUCUGUAGCUGACAUCAGGGGAGCAAACUGAACACAGGAAAAUGGAAAUCAACAUUUGAAACUUUUAAAUGGAAGCUUUAUUGGGGUUCCACAUAUGGAAAACUGCAAAUAGCAGAAGUGUGUGACUUGAUAAAUUAAUCUGGAGUGACCACAUCCUCUAACUUUCUCCCAGGACAAGAAGGAGAAUGUGAACAAUGCUCCUGAAGGCCCCUUUCCCUCAAAGAAUCACUGCAGUUGAAGGAAAAAUGCUCCGUGUCCCCUCUGCUGGUUGGUAUUUAUCAAAGGACGAUGGAGGAAGAGAGACAAAGUGCCUGGAUGUGUGUGUUAAUCAAGAGUUGUCAGGACCCUGCCUCUAAAAGAAAGUGCUAAAAUGAUGCUUUUGACAAGACUUUUCUCAAAGUGGAUGCAGUCUAAGGGUUGGAAAACAAGUCCCAAUCAGGCUAGGUGCGACUUGUCGCCUGCUUUCGUAAAUAAAGUUUUAUUGGCUCACAGACACA